rnacentral:rRNA from 1 species
UUCUGGCUCAGGAUGAACGCUAGCUACAGGCUUAACACAUGCAAGUCGAGGGGCAGCAUGUGGUUGCUGCAACCAAUGAUGGCGACCGGCGCACGGGUGAGUAACGCGUAUCCAACCUUCCCCUUAGUAGAGGAUAGCCCGGCGAAAGUCGGAUUAAUACUCUAUGUUCUUCAAUGCGGGCAUCUAAGUUGAAGCAAAGAUUUAUCGCUAAGGGAUGGGGAUGCGUCUGAUUAGGUUGCAGGCGGGGUAACGGCCCACCUGGCCUACGAUCAGUAGGGGUUCUGAGAGGAAGGUCCCCCACACUGGUACUGAGACACGGACCAGACUCCUACGGGAGGCAGCAGUGAGGAAUAUUGGUCAAUGGGCGCGAGCCUGAACCAGCCAAGUAGCGUGCAAGGACGACUGCCCUAUGGGUUGUAAACUGCUUUUAUCAGGGAAUAAAGUGAGGCACGCGUGCCUUUUUGUAUGUACCUGAUGAAUAAGGACCGGCUAAUUCCGUGCCAGCCGCGGC